rnacentral:rRNA from 1 species
UACGGAGGGUGCAAGCGUUAUCCGGAUUCACUGGGUUUAAAGGGUGCGUAGGCGGGUUGGUAAGUCCGUGGUGAAAUCCCCAAGCUUAACUUGGGAACUGCCGUGGAUACUAUCAAUCUUGAAUAUCGUGGAGGUAAGCGGAAUACGUCAUGUAGCGGUGAAAUGCUUAGAUAUGACAUAGAACACCAAUUGCGUAGGCAGCUUACUACACGAUCAUUGACGCUGAGGCACGAAAGCGUGGGGAGCAAACAGG